rfam:Daphnia pulex DAPPTscaffold_4626_Cont15900, whole genome shotgun sequence.
UCCUCGGUAGUAUAGUGGUGAGUAUCCCCGCCUGUCACGCGGGAGACCGGGGUUUAAUUUUCCUCCGGGAAG